GAUGAACGCUGGCGGCGUGCCUAAUACAUGCAAGUCGAGCGAACAGACGAGGAGCUUGCUCCUCUGACGUUAGCGGCGGACGUGUGAGUAACACGUGUAUAACCUACCUAUAAGACUGGGAUAACUUCGGGAAACCGGAGCUAAUACCGGAUAAUAUCUUGAACCGCAUGGUUCAAUAGUGAAAGACGGUUUUGCUGUCACGUCUAGCUGGUUCCGCGCCGCAUGAGCUGGUUGGUAAGGUAAUGGCUUACCACGGCAAGGAUGCGUAGCCGAACUGAGAGGGGGAUAGCCGACACUGGAGGUGGGACGGCGACAAGAGGCCUACGGGACGCAGCAGUAGGGAACGGGAGGCAGCGGGCGAAAGCAUGACGGAGCAACGCCGAGUCAGUUACGAAGGUCUCCGGAUCGUAAAACCGGGUUACGAGUGAAGAACAACUUUGGAAGGAAAUAUGGACGGCUUGACGGUAACUAGUAAGAAAGCAACGGCUAACUACGUG
rnacentral:rRNA from 1 species